AAUACCACUUGGGCGCAGGCGCUCACUAUUGCGCAACCUCUCUCCUUGGAGCGAGAGGAUCUUCUCCUAUCAAUUCAGGGAGAACGACGACGCCAUGGGAGAUCCACUGACCUUCGCUUCCAUGCCUCUCUCUCUCUCUCGCACACACACAUUUAACAACGAUGGUUUCUUUGACGCACAUUGUCUCUCCGACUCUCUUUCCGAAGAGUUGCAGGCGUUGGUGCUCUCAUUCGACAACGAGACAACGAUGCUUUGUUCUCUUCCAAAUAUGUUUUCCCCGAUUUGAUCGCCGGAAAUCUCUGGUAAUGGUUCCUUUGGUUCCGAUCUAAGGUUUCUAUAAUGCGCAUCGUUUCUCUGACUGUAUUCUUUAUCGAUUUGCAUGCAUUGGAGAAUGUUUGGGUCUCCCUCUUCGACAACGAUGUUUCGCUCUCUUAUGUCUCUGUUAUCGGUGAACUAAUCCCCAAGAAUCCCUGGUAAUAAUUCGUUUUGGUCCGAUCUAGUUUUCUUUUAUGCGCAUUAUCUUUCUGAAUCUCUUUCGUCCAGUUGAAUGCGUUAUAAGGAGUUUUUGGUCUUUCGCCAUCCAAAUAUACAAUGUUUCACUCGCUUCCAUCUCUAUAUCAAUGAUUUGAUCACUAAGAAUCCAUUCAGUAUGCGGUGGAACGAGUGUAUGGUUUCCGAUCUAGGGUUCCUUUGAUGCAUCGUUGUCUCUCUGACUCUAUUCUUUACCGAGUUGCUUGCAUUGGAACCAGCUUUUGGAUAUUCUGUUAUAAUUUGUUGUUGAAGAUGAGAUUCUUAAUUUUCGUGGUUAGAUUUUGUUUAAUGUGCGGAUUGAUGUGCUUAUUCUGAAAAUAAACAAAUAAAACAAGAUUUCUUACAUCUGUUUCAUAGUCUUAAUCUUUGGUUCUCUACUAUAUCAAGUAUUUGAACGCAAGAACUUGCAAUGGAUGCCACUGUUAGUUGUUCUAGGGUUAAAAUGUAGUAGAUCAUUUCCUAGGCUCUCUGUUUCAACUAAGCGACAUCGAAAAUUUUAUCCUAUGUGUUGAUCAUCCAUCUCUUCACAUUUUCUUGUUUAUUCUAUGUUAUCUAUUAAUGUUGCAGAAAUCAAGAUCUAACUGCUGGUUCCUUCGAUGGUAAUGCCCUUGUCUGUUUAUAUGGAUAUACUGAUUGACUUUUGCAUCUGAGAAUAGAAUUUCUGUUUUGUGCAUUUCCAUGGUAAUUUCUGUGUUCUGGGCCCUUAAGGUUGGGACAAACAAAUCUUACAGUUGUUCUAAUAACAAUUUCAUUUGCGAAUGAGUCUGCAGUUUCAUGAGACUUGAUUUAUAGUGAAUUGGGAGAAGGUAAGAUUUCUGUUUCGUUAUUCACUUCCCGACAACCCCAGCCUUGUAUCAUUUACUCCAUAUUCCAGUGUCCAUGAAUCGGAUAAUAGAAAAGGAUGUUUACCAAUACAAUGUAUAUAUAUAUAUAUAUAUAUAUAUAUAUAUAUAUAUAUAUAUAANAUAUAUAUAUAAAGAUCCAGGUGUCCCUAAGGUGAGCGAAUCUAAAACGCUAAUAAACUCGUCGAAGAUUCUUUUGUUACGCUCUAACCAAAGAACCCACCAUGUUGUGGCGAUUGUCGCUAACUCCUUUCCUCCGAGCGCUCCCCCUUUUUUUCUACUCGACUCCUAGAGCAAACUAGCAGAAGUACAAUUACAAAGGGCUGACUUACUUGGAAGAUAACCCUCUAGAAGCACUCUGGUGCCAUCACAUCGCAUGAAGAGGUGAUCAAUGGUCUCGUCCUCAUUCAAACAGAAAACACAAGUCAAACAUAAGUCUCCUCGCCACACCACCCACGUUUCCACAGGUUGUCUACAGUUGCCUCUGAUGGGACAUAAGUUGAUGGUGCUGUUGUUUUCUCUGUGAUUCAUGGAUAGUGGCAGUAUCGGGCCAAGACCUGUGGCUAACCCAGUGGCAGUCUGCUUGGCCCAGUUUGGCUGACCAUGUUGAUGCUGUAGUGACACACAAACAACAGCCAGAGCAUUUAAAAUCUUUCAUGGAGGAAAAUUUGAUCAAGAACGGCUUCUUUAAAAUCUUCUAGGCCAAACUGGAAUCUUCAAUACUCCAGACUCCAAAAUUUGUUGACAACCUCACUAGCUACUUCUAGCUGUAUCAGCUGACAUAGAGAUAGUCCUAUACAGGUGCUGGAUAUGGUCUUCUAUUGGCUGCAGAUGCAGGUUUUCCAAGCUCGAAAAUGGAGACAGAGAUAUUGGUGGGUGGUGGAGACAGUACAAAAAGGAUAGCGAAGAGCUAAGAACGAGGCUUACUAGGAUUGUAAGGAGGAGGCGGCGGCGGCGGCGGCGUCGUCUGUGACGGCUGUGGCUGCUGUGGCUUAGGGCUCAUCUCGGGGGCCUUAGCGAACCGGCCAUUGAUCCUCGGCCUCAUUUCGGCGUAUGCCUGUCUCAAGGCAUACCGGAUGUGCUUGUCGUACCUACGCUUCUUCUUCUUCUCUUUGUAUCUCAUUACCUUCGCCUCCCUCUCCGCCAAAGGGUCCCCCUGAUUCGGAGCUGUGUCGUCUCCUGCGUCCUUGGCGUUCUCGCUUGAAGCAGCGGUGAAUCUGCUCCCCGAGAAUGACGUCUGCAUCGGAAUUUAGUUUACAGGGAUUAAUUUGUGAGCAUAUAUAAUGGGUGAUAUUUGCAUUGGUUAUGUGGCGAGGGGAACAAGCACACAAAAUGUCGACAUUGUUGUACAAAGUUCAGCUUCUGUGACUCUAUAAACUGCGACAAAACAUGCUUCUCACCAAUAAUAUUAUAUAUUGUGCCUAAAUAUUAUUCAGAGUUUUUAAA